rnacentral:lncRNA from 1 species
AUGAAUUCGGUUUUGUUGCGUCCUCCCUGGAGGAACGAUGAUCUAGUCAGGGCACAGAAACAACAGUGCCGCAAAGCUGAGCGAAAGUGGCACAAGUCAAAACUCCAGGUUCAUUAUGAAAUGUAUAAGGGGGAGUUGUACGCUUACAACCAGAUCUUAUGCAGAACAAGGGAAAGGUACUUCUCUGCAAUCAUUGGAAGUUGCAGCAGCAACUCUCGUGUCCUGUUCACAACAGUAAACAGAUUAACUAACCCUCCAACCCAGCUACCAAUAGAACUAGUUUGCACACCUAAAUGUAAUGAGUUUGCUGUAUUUUUUAAUGACAAGGUUCAGGGCAUUAAAAAAGCCAUCAACUCCACAACACAUAUAACUAUCGAAUGGCCACCUACUCACUCUAAGCUGACUCACUUUGUACCUGUCACUGACCAAACUGUCCAAGAGACCAUCACCCGUCUGAGCUCGUCUACAUGCUGCCUUGAUGUGUUACCCACUAGAUUUCUAAAGUCUGUCCUGAACAGUGUGUUGCCAUCAAUUACUCAAAUAGUUAACAUGUCUCUUCAAUCUGGAAUACUUCCAAAGGCCUUAAAAACUGCAGUCAUUAAACCUCUCCUGAAGAAGAGCGGUCUUGAUCCCACUGUACUGAAUAAUUACAGACCUAUUUCUAAUCUGCCAUUUUUAGGAAAAGUCCUUGAAAAAGUUGUCUACCAACAGCUCACUGAUUUUCUCUUAUUAAACAAUUCAUUUGAUGUUUUCCAGUCAGGUUUUAGACCCCAUCAUAGCACAGAAACUGCUCUUAUCAAGGUAACCAACGACAUCCACCUGAACACUGAUGAUGGCAAAGUCUCUUGGGGCGGCCGUGGUGCAGCGGUAGGGCGGUCGUCCCAUGAUCGUAAGGUUGCAGAUUCGAUUCCCGCCUUGCACGCCCAUGGGCAAUACACUGAACCCCACCUUGCCUCUGGUGGUAGGCAGGCGCCUGUGUUUGGCAGCGGAGCUGCCACCAGUGUAUGA